AGCUUGUUGGUGAGGUAAUGGCUCACCAAGGCGACGACGGGUAGCCGGCCUGAGAGGGCGACCGGCCACACUGGGACUGAGACACGGCCCAGACUCCUACGGGAGGCAGCAGUGGGGAAUAUUGCACAAUGGGCGAAAGCCUGAUGCAGCGACGCCGCGUGAGGGAUGACGGCCUUCGGGUUGUAAACCUCUUUCAGCAGGGAAGAAGCGAAAGUGACGGUACCUGCAGAAGAAGCGCCGGCUAACUACGUGCCAGCAGCCGCGGUAAUACGUAGGGCGCAAGCGUUGUCCGGAAUUAUUGGGCGUAAAGAGCUCGUAGGCGGCUUGUCACGUCGGUUGUGAAAGCCCGGGGCUUAACCCCGGGUCUGCAGUCGAUACGGGCAGGCUAGAGUUCGGUAGGGGAGAUCGGAAUUCCUGGUGUAGCGGUGAAAUGCGCAGAUAUCAGGAGGAACACCGGUGGCGAAGGCGGAUCUCUGGGCCGAUACUGACGCUGAGGAGCGAAAGCGUGGGGAGCGAACAGGAUUAGAUACCCUGGUAGUCCACGCCGUAAACGGUGGGCACUAGGUGUGGGCAACAUUCCACGUUGUCCGUGCCGCAGCUAACGCAUUAAGUGCCCCGCCU
rnacentral:rRNA from 1 species